rnacentral:rRNA from 1 species
AUGCACGCUGGCGGCGUGCCUAAUACAUGCAAGUCGCGCGAACAGACGAGGAGCUUGCUCCUCUGACGUUAGCGGCGGACGGGUGAGUAACACGUGGAUAACCUACCUAUAAGACUGGGAUAACUUCGGGAAACCGGAGCUAAUACCGGAGAAUAAAUUGAACCGCCUGGUUCAAUAGUGAAAGACGGUUUUGCUGUCACUUAUAGAUGGAUCCGCGCCGCAUUAGCUAGUUGGUAAGGUAAUGGCUUACCAAGGCAACGAUGCGUAGCCGACCUGAGAGGGUGAUCGGCCACACUGGAACUGAGACACGGUCCAGACUCCUACGGGAGGCAGCAGUAGGGAAUCUUCCGCAAUGGGCGAAAGCCUGACGGAGCAACGCCGCGUGAGUGAUGAAGGUCUUCGGAUCGUAAAACUCUGUUAUUAGGGAAGAACAAAUGUGUAAGUAACUAUGCACGUCUUGACGGUACCUAAUCAGAAAGCCACGGCUAACUACGUG